UACCCGCGACAGGACGGAAAGACCCCGUGGAGCUUUACUGUAGCCUGAUAUUGAAUUUUGGUGCAACUUGUACAGGAUAGGUAGGAGCCAAUGAACUCGGAGCGCCAGCUUCGGGGGAGGCGUCGGUGGGAUACUACCCUGGUUGUAUUGAACUUCUAACCCGCACCCCUGAUCGGGGUGGGAGACAGUGUCAGGCGGGCAGUUUGACUGGGGCGGUCGCCUCCUAAAGAGU
rnacentral:rRNA from 1 species